AUUGAACGCUGGCGGCAGGCCUAACACAUGCAAGUCGAGCGAGUGGCGGACGGGUGAGUAAUGUAUGGGGAUCUGCCCGAUAGAGGGGGAUAACUACUGGAAACGGUGGCUAAUACCGCAUACUAUCGGAUGAACCCAUAUGGGAUUAGCUAGUAGGUGGGGUAAAGGCUCACCUAGGCGACGAUCCCUAGCUGGUCUGAGAGGAUGAUCACACACACUGGAACUGAGACACGGCCCAGACUCCUACGGAAGGCAGAAGUGGGGAAUAUUGCACAAUGGGCGCAAGCCGGAUGCAGCCAUGCCGCGUGUAGGAAGAAGGCCUUAGGGUUGUAAAGUACUUUCAGCGGGGAGGCGUUACCCGCAGAAGAAGCACCGGCUAACUCCGUGCCAGCAGCCGCGGUAAUAC
rnacentral:rRNA from 1 species